GACGAACGCUGGCGGCGUGCUUAACACAUGCAAGUCGAACGGAAAGGCCCUGCUUGCAGGGUACUCGAGUGGCGAACGGGUGAGUAACACGUGGGUGAUCUGCCCUGCACUUCGGGAUAAGCCUGGGAAACUGGGUCUAAUACCGGAUAUGACCUUCCAUGUAGUGUGGGGGGUGGAAAGAUUUAUCGGUGUGGGAUGAGCCCGCGGCCUAUCAGCUUGUUGGUGGGGUAAUGGCCUACCAAGGCGUCGACGGGUAGCCGGCCUGAGAGGGUGGACGGCCACAUUGGGCCUGAGAUACGGCCCAGACUCCUACGGGAGGCAGCAGUGGGGAAUAUUGCACAAUGGGCGGAAGCCUUAUGCAGCGACGCCGCGUGGGGGAUGACGGCCUUCGGGUUGUAAACCUCUUUCGACAGGGACGAAGCUUCGGUGACGGUACCUGUAUAAGAAGCACCGGCUAACUACGUG
rnacentral:rRNA from 1 species